CCGGGGCCGGCCAGUGAAGACGACCCUGGUGUGGGCAAGGAGCAGGAGCGCUGGACCGCCGGAGGGAUCCGCGUCGCCCGAGGAAUGGCCUGGCGGACAUGUGGCUGGGGGUCACCUGGAAACUCAAGAGAAGUGAAAUAAGUAUCCAGAUAAUUCAGGGGAACAGCUAUGCUUCAUUUAGCAUUGUUUGAACAGCUUUCUACUUUUUUCAUCAGCAGAGUUUUGGCCUUUGGGUUUAUAGAUAGGAGAGAGCUUUCACAAAUUGGCAGAUCUGUGUACAGAGAAAUUUCCUUUCCACGCAUCUUUUUAGGUUUACUAACUUUAUUUAUUUAUUGCAUUCCCAUUAAUCUCCAAGUCAGCACACUUUACAGCUUCCUAUUACUCUUUCUUAUUCUUUAAAUAUAGAAGUUGCGUUUUUGACUCCCGUUUCUCUAUUUUUUUCCAGAUAGGAUAAAGAGAGGCACAGAAGGUGAAUGGAGAACUAAGAAUUGUAUGAUUCAAUGGGUGUGGAGUAAAGUGGUCAAGAUUUUGAAGCAGUGUUUUGUUUUGUUUGUUUUUUGCCGCACAACACUACUGUAAUUUAAAUUUUAUCAGAUAUCACUUGAAGAUAGACUCAAACAACUAUUUAAAGAUUCCUAUAUGCGUAACGUGCUUCAGAUUUUGAGGCAAUUGUCUGCUGUACACCAUCUGAUUCCAGAGAAUUUGCUACAAAUCUAUGAACAAGUAAACUUCCAGAGAUGAAAUGCCCAGUAGGAGACAUGGACCUCUAUAAAGGAUUGGAGAUCUGCAAUUUGCUUUUAAUGUAAUCAUAUGUGAAUAGAAAUAUUGCUGGUUCAACAGACAUUUCCUCUGCAAAGCACUGUGUUAAGACAGAUGGAAGGUUCGAGGUACAAAGAUAUACUGUGCUUUCAAGGGAAUUUUAUAUCCUUGAUAUCACAUGAGAAAAUGAGAAAAACACCGUAAUUUUUUUCUUACGCCCGUUAAAUUCCUAUUAAAUGUAUCCCUCAAUACACUGCAUUUUUAACUAUCUUACCACUUUUGCCUUGUGUUGUAUUUCUUCAAGCCCUGUACCAUACUGUUUGAAAGUAUUGCAGGCAUGUUAUUUGGCUUGAACUAGUUCUUUCAAAUUUCAUCUUGUUCCUUGUAAUUUCAACCCAUGACUGGGAUAAAUUUUUUUAAUUGCUACUUAUUUGCAUUGGAGAAGAAUCAUAUGAAAAAUGGGUAGAGGAAAAUAUUUCUGGAAACUGUGAUCAUAGAAAUUAAAAUUCCCUACAUGUCUAAAAUGGAAUCCUAUACCAUUUCCCUAAAUAGCAAGAAAAUAUGAUGAUUUGAGGUAUUCAAGGUAAGAAACUGGAUUGUAUGACUUCCCAGGUUCUCCUUUACUUUUUUUUUUUUUUUUUUUUGGUGAGAAAGGUUGGCCCUGAACUAACGUGUGUUGCCAAUCUUCCUCUUUUUGCUGGAGGAAGGUGGUUCCUGAGCUAACAUUUGUGCCAGGCUUCCUUUACUUUGUAUGUGGGAUACCACCAUAGCAUGGCUUGAUGAGCGGUAUGAAGGUACGCAUCCAAGAUCCAAACCGUGAACCCUGGGCCACUGAAGUGGAAAAUGCUAACCCGACCACUACACCACCAGGCCAGCCCCUCCUUUACUUUUAAACUCUGUAAAUAAGCAAAGUCAAAGCUCACAGCCUUCGAAGGAACUUAUACCUGUGUGACUUUUUAAAAGCAAGCAGUACUGAUAGUUCAGAAACUUGGGCCAUGGUAUGAAAAGUCAAAAUUAGUUAUAAAAGUCUGUGGUAAUAUAAAAUUCAAUUUCGAAAAAAUGUAAGUAGCAUAUCAAGGCAAUAAAGAGACAAUAUCUUUAUUUGAAUUUUAACUGAUACAUACUCCUUGGGCUAUCCCUCCCACAGAAGAAUCUGACUUUCACUAUGAUAAUCAUUUUCUUAGAAAAUAGAAAGAAAAAUACAAUUUGAACAAAUUUCAGUACACUGUAGUGAUUAAGGACAUGGCUUUAGAGGAAAACAGCCCUGGGUUUGAAUCUCACUCUGCUGCUUACCAGCUCUGGACCCAGGCACAUUUCCUAACGCCCUAGCCUCAGCUUUCUCGUUUGUAAAAGUAGUCCCUACUUUGUAGGGUCUUGUGAGGAUUAAGUGAGGUAAUCACAGAGUAAGAACACAAUUCAUGAUAAAAUUUAAAAUUAUAUAUCUAUAUAUAAGGUACAUAAAUUACAUAUAUAUUACAUGUAUAAAAUGCAUACCCAGUAUGAUAAGCAGAAUGAUGGCCCCCCCAAAAACACCCACAUCCUAGUCCCUGGAACACGUGAAUAUGUUACAUUUCAUGGCAAAGAAUUAAGGUUGCAGAUAGAAUUAAGGUACUAAUCAGAUGACCUUAAGAUAGGAAGAAUAUCCUGGAUUUUCUGGGUAGGUCCAAUGUAAUCACAUGGGUCCCUAAAAUUGGAAGAGGGAGGCAAUAGAAGAGAGUCAGAGAAAGAGAUGUGACUAUGGAAGAAUGGUCAGAGACAUGCAACACUGCUAGCUUUGAAGGUGGAGAACGGGGCCAUGAGCCAAGGAAUGUGGGUGGCCUCUAGAAUCUGGAAAGGGCAAGGAAAUGGAUUCACUCCUAGAGCCUCCAAAAAAGAAGGCAGCCCUCUGACACAUGGAUUUUAGCCCAGUAGCACUCAAGUCUGACUUCUAACUUACAGAACUGUAAAACAAUACGUUUCUGUUGUUUUAAGUGUCCAAAUCUGUGAUAAUUUGUUACAGCAGCAGACAGAAAACAAAUUAGCUAUUUAGAUAUUUAUCAGGGGCCCUACAAAAGAUGCAGAUAAGUGUGGGCAUAUGGAGAAUUGUCUUUUUUUCUUCCAGUUUUGGAAAGCAUGCUAAUUCACACACUUUUUCAUUUUUGUGUUCUUUAUAGAACUAAUUGCAAGAAUUUGAUUUACCAUAAGAGUGUCCUCCAAGCAAUGGAGGUGAUACUGGCCAACAGCUUAACCCGUUAUGAUUCCUUGAUGAUGGCAGCUGACAAUUAUAGGCAAUAAACUUUACUUAAGUACUAUCUAGUUUCUUAUGAUAUUCUUAUUUGUGUCUAGACACCUGAGAGUAUCAGAUAAAUUAUUUAUGAGUUGACAACAUCUGAGACUAACAGGAGUGGCCCUGUCAUCUCCCUGAGAGAUGAGAUCAGAGGUUGGCAGUGGAGGCUGGCCACACUCACCGAGUACUUCUUGCCUCUUCUCAGCUCUAUCAGAAGCACAUUAUGUACGUUGUUGCCUUUAAUCCUCAAAUCCAUGACAUCAUUAUUGUCACUUUACAGAUAAAGAAACACAAGUUCAAGGAAGUGAAACAAACUUACCCAGGACACACAGCAGGAAAGGGGCAGAGCUGAGUCCAUUUGAUUUGAAGCCCAUGAUCUUUCUAGAGCAUCACAGAGCCUCCAAUAUCAAUAGGUGAUGCUGGGAGAAAGAUAUCAAGGACUAGGGGUAGAAGAGUUUACAAACUCAAAUGCCUAAAGUACCUGCAGGGCAUCACAGAUGCUGAGUGUCAGAAGAGGUGAAAGUGAGAUGAUAAAUGACAGCUGACAAUCAGUCUUCCUGAGCAGCAAGAGGUGCACGCCCUCUCUAAAGGAAACGGCUGACAGCUACUACCAGCUGGUUGUUGCUGUGUGAGACCAUAGGCCCAAUGUUGCCAGAUCAAUUAAUUUUUCAAUAAAAGAUAACAAUAUACAUUUUAAUGCGAAAUGGUAUGAUUGCAAAAUGCUAGGAAUGAAUUCAGAUUUUCUUAAAACACUGUAAAGGCCAAAUAAGUCCAAAUCUGCCCAAUGGUCUGGCAAGUUGAGACCACUAGUAUAGACCCUAAGGGAUCAAUACUGACCCACAGAGUGGUCCACAGUCUUGCUAGAAGAGAAGAUGUGGAAAGGAUUGGACUAGAUUUUGAUUGAGCUCCUUGAGUGAAGAGGUGCCCUGAUCUAAGAACAGGGAGGUUUAUUCUAGGGCAUUGAGGCAUGUCAGAGGAGGGCUAUGACUCAGCUUUUCCACCGAAUCUUCUCUAAAAAACCUAUGUAACCAAUAAGUAAAGCAACUCUAAACAUAUUAAAACACCUGUUAUUUUUCCCUUUCCUUUUUGCUAAUGCAUCUUCAUUGAUAGAUAUGCUUAUCUGCCAUAUUUCUAUAUGUGAUAAUUAGUAACCAGAUUAUGUUAAUUAAUAGAAAACAGCUUAAUUAAUAAUGUAAUUAACUCACAUUAUUCACAUUAUUAAAUUUGAAUAGAUUCACAUUUUAUCUAUAUGCAAAAAAGCUGACAUAUAAUAUCUGUAGAGCAGGAAUAAAUGGCAUGAGUUUGAAAAUAUUUAUUUAUUUUAAAUAGUACAAUAUCAAAAAAAGAAAACUACAGUUAAAACGUACUGAUACACAUUUGAAGUAGAAAGCUCUGAUUUGAGAAACACAGUUACAGGAAACUCUAAGGGAGGAGCUGAUGUCGGAGUCGAGUUGUGUGGUAGACAUCAUCUUCACCAUUGCGACUUUUCUCCAGCAGAGCUCUGCAGCCUGGGUACAGUGUUGGGGGAGGCAGACAGCUGGACUGAACCUGGGCUGAGAAGGACAGUGGAGGAAGAGAGCCCAAGUGGGGGCCAUGCCAUUUACACUUGCGAAGGAAAGGAGGAGGUGACAGGCAGAAACUCGAGGCCAAGGGCAUGGGGGACUGAAACAGGUAUAAGAUGCUGGAAGAUGACACCAGACAUCUGAGUCAGAGAAAAAGAAGCUUUUAUCUCAAUGCACAGCAUAAAAAGCAUGAACAUCAGAAUGUUUGCAUCAAUUCCUCUUGCCUCCAAGUUCCACAGGAGUGAUGCGAAGGGGCCCGGAUAGAUGCCACACAUGCAGUGGGUUGUGUUGCAGCAAGGAAACAAUGAGCUUGGGGAACCCACUGCUUUUCUAGCAAGCAGCAAGCUAAGCCAGCUCUUUGUCCCAGAGGAGAUGAUACUUCAUCUCUCAAGAUUGCUUGCUGCAAACAAACCAUGAAAAAUGGCUUGGGUAAAGAGUGGUGUGGUGGAAAGCCUGGAAGAUGGCCCAUAAUGGUUCUUGCCUCCGGGUAUUCACUCUUUUGCAAAUCCCCUCCAGUUGACUGUGGGCUGGACUUACCGACUUACUUCUUACUAACUGAAUACAGCACAAGUGACAGGAUGUUGCUCCUGAGGUGAAGUUAUAAACAGACUGUGGCUUCUGUCUUGGGCACCCUCUCAUGUUCUCUCACUCACUCACUCUGAGGGAAGACAGCUGUCACGUUGUGAGUUGCCUUAUGGAGAGACCAGCAUGGCAAGGAAAGGAUGUCUUUGGCCAACAGUCAGCAAGGACUUGAGGCCUGCUAACAGCCACAUAAGUGAGCUUGGAAGCAGAGUCUCCCCCAUUCAAGGCUGGACAUGACUGCAGCCCUGCCCUACACCUUAUUGCAGCCUUUUCAGAGACCCUGAGUCAGGGGCACCUGGCUAGGCUGCACUCAGCUUCCUAAUCCACAGAAACUGUCAGAAAAUAAAUGUUUAUUGUUUUAAACCUA